CCAGUGUUUUUUUUGUUUGUUUGUUUUUUGCAUUACCCUGCCAGGGUCCCAGGGAGUACAAUACCACAAAGCAGGCAUGAUAGAAACCAGCACAGACAUGGAAAAAGAGCCAUCAGGUCCCACCUCGUCCAUGUCAAUCCAAGAUUGCUCCCUUAGGGUUUGUGCAGCCUGAUUUUAGAUUUCCUGAGCAGCUCCCACCCAUUCCCGUGCCUAUGAAGCCCUGGCCUGGUGCAUCUCACUGUUAGGACGUUUUCUCUCAGUCUCACAGUAUUGCCAAUGCCAAGCAUUCAAAACCCAUGAGCCGGGCUCCCCCAGAAUCAUGAAAUUAAAAAAAAAAAAGAAUGUUGGGUUCUUUUCCUUUGCCUUCUGUUUUCUGAGCCUUUGAGCUGCACUGGGGUGCUGUUUUCAAGCUCUUCUCUGCUGUGGUGAGGGCUAGAAACUUAUCUUUUCCCCUUUUAACAAAAGCUGAGAUUCUCAACUGACUCCAGGAGCUGGGGCUUUAACCAAACUACCAAAUAUUCUGAGACUCGCUAUAAAAGCAUUAGAGUUGGCAGCAUUGUGUUGGGGUCUAGUCCUGUCCAGAGCAGGUACAGAAUGAAGGCAUCAGGAGCCAGUGCAGGUUAGGGAAGCCCCAGCUGAAGGUAGCCUCAAUAGACCAUUCCUGCUUGGCUUAGAGGUUUCCCCUGGAGUGCCUCUUAUGAGAGGAAUGUAAAAAGUCCACAGUCUGCGUAAAUCCACCUCGCAUGGUGGGCUGAGCAGAGGCAUUGUGAUUUGGGCCUGCAGGGCAAUGCUGAGUCAUGGCCACGUAGCCUGCUCUUUAGGAACCUAAAUACCUUUGAGAAGGGCCAGAUUUAGGGGCAGGCCACCCAGGUGACCGCUUGGGGUGCCAGGCUUGGAGGGGGGGCGGGCGCUGGGCUCGGUGGGCUGUUUUUUUUUUUCUGUUAGCGACAAUAGGGAAAAGAGAACAUUUGAAGUGACAUGUUUCAGGUAUUCCGUAUGUGGGGUCAUUUUUCAUGAACCUCCUAGAAUGUUCUGGACCUUUUCGGAAUCUCGUGGAACCUUCCAGACUUUCUGAGAACUACAUUUUCCUCAAAGCUCCUAGAAAGUUGUCAGUUAAGCCCUCGUGGGUAGAUAAGGGGUGGGGCAUCACCAGUCCAUCAGUGAGAUAAAAACACAGAUUUACAGAUCCUAGUGUGCAAAUUUACCAUCUUAUGCGACAGGGAUAAAUCAUGCAUGCAAAUUGUGCAUCGAAGUCGAGAAAUGGGCCACAAAUGCAAUAAAAAAUCAGGUAUUCAAACGGGUGCAGGAACAGGUUUUAUAGUGGGGGGGCUGAGAGCCAUUGAAACAAACUGUAAACCCUGCAUGUGAUGGAAACCACUUCAAGCCAGGGGGCGCAGCAGCACCCCUAGUUCCAGCACCUCUGUAAAAGUCUAACAAAUGGAGCGGCGGCUAGCCUUUGCUCUAGCCUUUGAAGAUUUGGUCUGUCGUGUUUACACCCAUUUGCACAUGACUCUACAGGGUGCAAAACAGAGCAGAAUUGGGCCCAUUAAUUUCCUCCUUAUUGUUAAUGAAUGGACCUACAUUCUCUCCAGUGUGACGCCCGCCCCCCCGGAUAAGUUUGUAAGAGGCCUUGUUAUUCCUCUUUACCCCUCAAGUUAACAUUCGCUCAUCCUGCCAUGUUUGGGUGCCCUUAUCUUUCUCUCCCUGCAUCUCUUAGUGGAUUUUGUGGUGGCUUUCAACUUCCUUAUUAUUUAGAUGCUGCACGUAAGAGCUUGAGGGCCCCAUUGUGCUGGGCCCGGCACAAACACAGAGUGCGAGACAGCCCCUGCCCUGAAGAGCUUACAAACCAAACAGGCCCAUAAAGGGGGAGAGAUGGGAAGUACUAUUAUCCCCGUUUUACAAACGGGAAACGGAGUUACAGAGCGAUCGCAUGCCUGUGUGUGACAGCUGCCAUCGGGGCCAACGUGCCAGAGACGGGCAAGUGUGAGUCUUCCCAGCCUGUGCUGCCGAGCCAGGCCCUGGAGCUGGGAGCUAUAAGCGGCUCCCAUCCUCCGUGGCACAGGAGGGGGGACAGAUGACACAUGGUAACCCAGGGGUUACACAAGGUGUGACAGAGCCAGGAUUCAGAUCUCCCGAGUCCCAGUCUAGGGCCUUCACCGUGAGACCAUCCCCAGGACUGGCUCUGAGGUUAAAGAUGGAAGGAAGUCCUAUUCACUGACUCCUGCACCUUCUUUGGGUGCGCUCCUUGAUGAUCGCAGCACAGACCAGUUCAGGCCUAAUGCAGUGCCUUCUGCAAAGGCCCAGCUCAGAGUGGCCUGGGGCAGUUUUCCUUGGCUCUGUGUCUUAUGCUAUUGUACCAUGAAUUUUGUGCAUCUGGGGGCAAGGGAAUCCUGUGACACAGAAAUUUUGCUCAGACCUUCGCCUCUUUUUCCCAAGAACAUGUCUCUUUGUUGCAGUGUUCCCUUUAGGCACCCGUUACGCUCUCUUCCCUGUACAUCCCUGCGCUUUGGAGACGGAAGCCAGCGUUCCCCGUCUUACGAACUCCCAGCUGGCUCAUGUUACACAUCUGCAUUCAGUCUCGUUUGGAGGCGUUAGCCCAGCGUGGGCAUCCCGCCGAGUUUCCAGGUGUGAAAAAACACAGGAGUUGCAGUUUUUCAGCCGUGAUUCAGCUGCGUUUUUAAAGAAAACAACUCCCCUCGCCUGCAGCAGGAAAUCACUGUUUGGAUUUAUGAGGCACCUUUUCCUGACCAUCCUCUCUGGAAAAGCCUUUGCUAGAUCGACAUGGCUGCUCCCUUCCUGACUCCUGCUGGGAGAAUCUGGACAACUGGAGCUUGGAGAAUAAGGUGUAGGCCAGUGGUUCUCAACCAGGGGCACGCGUACAGCUGAGGCUACACAGAGCUCUUGAAGGGGGGAGAUCAACUCAUCCAGAGAUUUGCCUAGUUUUACAACAGGCUGCAGAAAAAGCCCUGGCGAAAUCGGUACAAACUAACAUUUCAGACAAUGCCUUAUUUAUCCUGCUCUGUAUACUAUACACUGCAAUGUAAGUACAAUAUUUAUAUUCCAGUCGAUUUAUUUUAUAAUUUAUAGGGUAAGAAUGAGAACAUCAGCAAUUUCUCAGUAAUAUUGUGCUGUGACCCUUUUUGUAUUUUUAUGGCUGGUUUUGUAAGCAAGUAGUUUUGAAGUGAGGUGAAACUUGGGGGCACGCAAGACCAAGCAGACUCCUGAAAGUCGUUUGGAAAGGUUGAGAGCCCCUAGUCUAGUCUACUCUAGAAAAGGUUUGCCCAGUGUUACUACACUAGCAUCAGCAAAGUAGGGUAAGCCAUCUCCUAGGGCAGAUGCAGGGUAUACCGUCAAAAACGUGUUUUUGCUGGUAUUGCUUGUAUCAGUUCGCUGAACGAAAGAAGCACUGAAAUUUGCUGGUAUAACUGGGCGUUUGCUACUGUUUUUGCCGGUAUAAAAAUUUCAUUACAAAGAAAAGUUACACUCUUACAUCACAUUGCUACACUGGCAAAAGUUUCUAGAGUAGACCUGGCCUCAGCACCGUUACUUGUUCUGUGUUUGUACAGCACCUAACACAAUGGAGUCCUGGUCCAUGACUGGGCUCAUAGGUGUUCCUGCAAUACACAUAAUGAAUAAUAAUAUUCCACUCCCUACAGCUAUUCUUGCUGGGGUAGGCAAGACAUGGGGAGCUGUGAGCCUGCUUCCAGACAACUCACCAUUGUCAUCCCCUCCCGCAUGCAUGGGAUAGGCUGGGUUGCAGGAAUAGCUUGUGAGUUUCACCCAGAAUAAUCCACUUAGGCCAUUCCCUGCAGUGACUCCUGCUGGCAGAUGGUGGAACAGGCCUAGACCACACACACAGCCACUACACAAAACCUAGGCCAAGCGUCAACUCAUUUGGUAGCAAUUGCUUCUCCCAAUUGUUUUACUAACCUCUCCAAUGCUGGAAAAAAUUCAUCUGAACUCCUGUUCCAAGGGCAACCAAAAGCACAGAUCUCAUUCCAACGACAACCUCUUUUUAGUGAGAGACAAUACACAGGACAAAAUCUCGGGAGUGAGAUGUCAGUGACACACCUGUAUACGUGAACUGCGUUUGCACUGGUGUAGCUGAGAUCAGGAUCAGGCCCUGGAUCUUUUGAGAAGGGCGCCUAAGCAUCCAAUCCAGAUCAGAAAGCCGAGCCAGGAGGGACGACACCAGCACUGUGUUGAUCUAUUGUCUCAUCAGGCCUGGCACGUCUGUAUGAAUGCAGGGCCUGCAUGUUCACGUAGGCCUACAGUUGGCCUUCAGUCAAGGCUUAGUUACUGGGGGUGGGAAGAAGAAUGGUGUUAAAUGAAGUCAACAUCCAGGGAAUGGUUACAGCUCUCUCGGAGGUGUGAGCAGACCUCACCUGGCUUUUCAGCGAUGAGUACCUACAAAGUGGGGAACCCCUACUAGUACGACACUCUACCGAGGCCAACUUACGUAUCAGCAAACUGCAGCUGAGCAAGGCUGAAGAAGAAAGACUUGCCCAGAUCCCACUAAGCUGGUAGGCACCUCCUUAGAGCAAUCCAUGCCACAGAUGAUCUCCUCAGCUGGUGUGGCUCGGUCGACUUCAAUGGAACUAUGCUGAGUUCCACCAGUUGUGGAUCUGGGCCUAGUUUUUUCAAAGCAGUUAGAUUGCCAUCUCCGUCUGUCUUUUGCCGUUAUUGAAUGGAGUCUUUUUUUGGUUGGUUUGUUACAUUUCAGAACCAUGAUCAAAUGAUUUGGAGACGAAAGGUGGAACAAGGUUUCUAUAAUUCUCAUUGAUUAAGGACACUUUGGAGAGGAAGCUGGAGCUGUAUAAACCAGCAAUGGACAGACUGGGAUGGGGGGGACACAAGCUUAGGUCAGAAGGGGAUCUAUAGAGAACAGAAGGAGAUUUAAGGGGCUAGCCUAUGUCUACUGUAGUGAAUGGGAAGUUCUCUCCCUUAGCAUCACUGGAUCAAUCACCAGAGAGCAAUGUACAAGGGGAAUGGGCUUGCUGGUGGUGGAAGACUAACUGAGGACUCAAGGUAGUACUGCUCUUCUUUGUCUGCCCUGAUCUCUCUGGGCUCUUCCAAGGCUCAAGCAAACACCUGUGGGGAUUGUGCUGCUCCCUGGCAAUGCUGGAGCAAAUGUGAGCUCUCCUGUGUGACACAGCACCUUGGGACCCAGUGCUCAACACUUCUGGGCUGGUAGAUCUUGAUCAGAUCCCAGUCAGAAGCUCAGAUCUGUGAGGAGCAUCGUAUAAAAAACCGCACAGAAUAGAAUAUUCUGAGCUGCCUUCCGCGUGGUCUUUGGUCCCUUUACUCACCAUACGCAGUGGAGGGUAAACUCAAACUGUGAUGUAUUUUCCUUCUCCAACUUGGUAGCAAUGCAGAACCUGGAGAUAUAUGGUCUAUGCUCAGGCCCCGGCAUACACAGGCUGGCUGAAGAAGUCAGGUGGAUUGUAGUUUGGCACAGAAAUCAGCUGGAGUUUGCCAGUUCUACGCGCUUCAAAUGUAGUAGAGUUCAGACAGCUUCUGACCCCACGAGAUAAUUUUCUCAGUAUUCUUUAGAGGCCAACACAACGCCAAGCUGACUGAGACCCCACCCCCACGCGAAACAAUGGCGAGCCAAAGGGCUGCUGCAUAUGGAGCGUGAUCGAGAGUCUAAGCAGUCUCGGGAGGAUUGUUACAUAAAACAACGAGCAUCAUAAGACAGCUUAAUUCAGCUACAUCAGCAGGUGAGAGGCCGUUCCAGCUCGGACCAGUUUUCAAAUAACUCCCCCAGCAGGAUAUUAAGUGGUAGCAUACUCUGCCAAUCAAACACGAAAGAGAAGCAUGACGUCAUAAGAACCAGCCGCCAUCGGCCAAUGAGCGAUCCUGAAGGCAGGACGCUCACCUAGCAAUGACCGAGAGAGGAUGAACGUUUUCAAGAGUGUUGCAUACGCUGCAAGGCUCUCCCCACCACUCACACACAGCCGCCUCUAGGCACACUGGUAACUGAAUGCUUUAGCCCCCUUGUGGCAGGGAGCUUCACUCACUGCUAGGCUGGCGCCUCCUCCUGGUCGCUCCAGGGAUUAGCUCAUGAGGUCAACACCUCUUCCCGCGGUCGCACGCCGUCACUCCGUCUCUCUCUGGUCUGCAGCCCUACUCUCACUCCAGGAACCGCAGCGUCCUCUCCGUGACUCGGCCCUCUGGCCAGAUCGCUCAGCAUCCCCCCUUCAGGGGCACAGUCCUUCCAAGUGUGUGGCACUUCCACAGAGACCCAGGAAGUCUUCCAGUUCACUGCCCCGCUGGUGCCGCUUCCCCAGUGGUGGGUCGGGGAACCCAGGCCUGCCCUCUACUCCAGGUUCCAGCCCAGGGACCCUACAACAUGCAGCCAAGGUCUGUUCAGUCCCCAACCUUGCUGCUUAUUCCCUGGACUACUUCCUACCCCAGCGCUCCUGGGGUUCUCUGUUCCCUUCUCCCAGGGAGUGACCAUGGGCUACAGCCCCCAAACACACCUCCCUUCUCCCAGGGCGUGACUGCAGACACCUCCCUGCAGCCCCCUGCCUGCUCUCAGCUCCCUGGCUUUAUAGAAGUCCCAUCUGUUCCCGCACAGGUGAGCUUCCCCUAAUUAGGGCUUUCCUCUCGGCCUUCAGUCUAAUAGGUUAAUUGGCUCCUCUGGCCUCCAUUAACCCCUUCAGGGCACAUCUGUAGGGGGUACACAUCCCGCUAACGAUCGGAGGUCAGAUUUUUAACCGGCAGUGCUCUUUGUUCAGCAUGGUGCUGUGUCCCUAGAGGUACCAAAUCGACAGGCCUAAAGGGAACCAAUGCACAUCUGUGGUCCAGUAAAUGUCACACAGAAGAUGCUGCAGAAGAAGGUGGCAUUUCUACCCUCACUCCCAGUGGUAGCUCUGCUUUAGAGUGUGAUCCAAACUUUGGCACUCUCUUCUCUUUGCAGGUUUUUUUUUUUUUUUAAAUCUGAUGAAGCCAGCUAUUGUCUGCAGCCAGGGACCUCAGAGAGUGAGAAGGUGAAGCUGCCGAGACCACAGUCAUCAAGCUGUUUGUUUUCUGGGGGAAAACGACCCAGCGAACCGGCUGACAGACCUGAAAUGUUAAUUUCUUCCAGCUGUUGUCAGUCUGGCAGGCUCUCAAAGGAAGUUUAAUAGACUACAGGCUUCCCUGCUUGCCCCCAUCCUUCCACUGGCUCUGCUUAGCAGAGGCAGCCUCCCAGAACCUAGAUGAUUAAACAAACGUCCUUGCCUUCCAAUGAUUUGUUUUCUCUUUGGCUUGAAAGAUUUUUGUGCCUUGUGUUUGUUUAUUUCCCCAUCCCCCGGCCAUUUAAAAUCCCCAUUAAUUAAAGGGGAGGAGGCCAAUUAGGCAGGGUCAGGACGGCAAAUAAGGAGCAAGUGGGACCCGACUAAGGGCAGCACGUGUAAGUGAGAAGAAAGGCAAUGGGUUCGUGAACCAUCUCUGAGACUGAGCCACUUCCGUGUGUGGCCAGACAGGAAACAGGAUCAAAAAGGUCUUUGUAGUUGAAAAAGAAAAAUCCUUUCACUAGCAUUUGAGUGGUUUUGAUUCAAGACGCAAGUAGGGCACGCUGUUGAAAGCAAGGAACUUCUAGGCUUGAUCAGACGUGGGACCUCUCUAGUCCCGUAUCCUAUCUCUGACCAGCGUCUGUGUCCAAGGAAGUGAUAGGAUAACAUAACCUACUGGGGUAAAAACAACGAGGGGUCCUUGUGGCACCUUAGAGAUUAACAAAUUUAUUUGGGCAUAAGCUUACGUGGGCUAAAACCCACUUCAUCAGAUGCAUUGAGUGGAAAUACAGUAGGCAGGUAUAAAUAUACAGCACAUGAAAAGAUGGGGUCGUUUCUUUCCAGCCAGUUAGAGGUUGGCUGAUGCCCUGGAGGAGAUGGGCUUGUUAUUAGAGCAGGUCAAAAAAUCUUCAUCUAAAACAGUUUGUUAUUGGAAAGUUUCCUUCUGACUAAAGUGAAUUUUUUGUGAAAUUGUAUUGAUUGUUUAAGGAGAAAAAAUGAAAAAAACCCUGAGUUUAAAAAUGUCAAAAUGGGAUAUAUGGACAUGUCCAGAAUGAAGAGUUUUGAUUUUUUUAAAUUUUGGACUGACUUUAUUUCUCUAAUAUAAAAUAAGUUUUGA